rnacentral:rRNA from 1 species
UACGGGGGGGGCAAGCGUUGUUCGGAAUUGCUGGGCGUAAAGGGCUCGUAGGCGGCCAACUAAGUCAGACGUGAAAUCCCUCGGCUUAACCGGGGAACUGCGUCUGAUACUGGAUGGCUUGAGUUUGGGAGAGGGAUGCGGAAUUCCAGGUGUAGCGGUGAAAUGCGUAGAUAUCUGGAGGAACACCGGUGGCGAAGGCGGCAUCCUGGACCAACACUGACACUGAGGAGCGAAAGCCAGGGGAGCAAACGGG